rnacentral:lncRNA from 1 species
AGCCAUUUUUUUUUGGUAAUCAAAUUUUGUUUGCAUCAUGUUCAAGCCACUUUUUUAUUACAUCAUGUUCAGCCAUCAAAUUUUGUUUGCAUUAACGGUAAUUUUCAGUUACUAAUUUCGUGACAGAGCGCAAGCAUAUAGUGAUUGAAUUCUUAUCGGUUUGAAAAUCAUGCAGACGAUGCGUCGGAGGUUUCAGUUAAGAAGAAUGAAAAAAACUCCCAAACAGAAAGAAUUGAUCUCUAGGAUUUGCUUGCUCACAUAGAGUGCUUUGAAAGAGUAGACAUUGUUCUUUGAUUUGAUUUCUGGAUUGUUCUUAGUUUUGUUUAUGUUUCUUCUUGGUUUUGGUCCAUUG